GGGGAAUUUUGGACAAUGGGCGAAAGCCUGAUCCAGCAAUGCCGCGUGCAGGACGAAGGCCUUCGGGUUGUAAACUGCUUUUGUACGGAACGAAAAGGUAGCUCCUAAUACGAGCUGCCGAUGACGGUACCGUAAGAAUAAGCACCGGCUAACUACGUGCCAGCAGCCGCGGUAAUACGUAGGGGGCGAGCGUUAAUCGGAAUUACUGGGCGUAAAGCGUGCGCAGGCGGGUUUGUAAGGUAGAUGUG
rnacentral:rRNA from 1 species